rnacentral:rRNA from 1 species
AUUGAACGCUAGCGGGAUGCCUUACACAUGCAAGUCGAACGGAGUGGCGAACGGGUGAGUAAUGUAUCGGAACGUGCACAGUAGCGGGGGAUAACUACGCGAAAGCGUAGCUAAUACCGCAUACUAUUGGAGCGGCCGAUAGCGGAUUAGCUAGUUGGUGGGGUAACGGCUCACCAAGGCGAAGAUCCGUAGCUGGUUGUAGAGGACGACCAGCCAUACUGGGACUGAGACACGGCCCAGACUCCUACGGGAGGCAGCAGUGGGGCAUUUUGGCCAAUGGGUGAAACCCUGAUCCAGCCAUCCCGCGUGUGCGAUGAAGGCCUUCGGUUUGUCAAGCCCUUUUGGCAGGAAAGCGGUACCUGCAGAAUAAGCACCGGCUAACUCCGUGCCAGCCGCCGCGGUAAUAC